AGUGAACGCUGGCGGUAGGCCUAACACAUGCAAGUCGAACGGCAGCACAGGAGAGCUUGCUCUCUGGGUGGCGAGUGGCGGACGGGUGAGGAAUACAUCGGAAUCUACUUUUUCGUGGGGGAUAACGUAGGGAAACUUACGCUAAUACCGCAUACGACCUACGGGUGAAGGCAGGGGAUCUUCGGACCUUGCGCGAUUGAAUGAGCCGAUGUCGGAUUAGCUAGUUGGCGGGGUAAAGGCCCACCAAGGCGACGAUCCGUAGCUGGUCUGAGAGGAUGAUCAGCCACACUGGAACUGAGACACGGUCCAGACUCCAACGGGAGGCAGCAGUGGGGAAUAUUGGACAAUGGGCGCAAGCCUGAUCCAGCCAUACCGCGUGGGUGAAGAAGGCCUUCGGGUUGUAAAGCCCUUUUGUUGGGAAAGAAAUCCAGCUGGUUAAUACCCGGUUGGGAUGACGGUACCCAAAGAAUAAGCACCGGCUAACUUCGUGCCAGCAGCCGCGGUAA
rnacentral:rRNA from 1 species